AUCGCAUAAGUUUGAAAUAACCUUACAUGCAAAGAGUAAAAAUCCAUCCAAUAUUAAAAUCUUUUUAUCAUUUGUCACGGGAAACGUGUCUUCUUCUGGUGACGUAAUUAACUUUAAAACAUCCGAUCGCAUUUUAUCCAUAUCUAAACUGGUGAUUAUUUCCCAGUUCACGUGAUUGAGUUUUGCUAUAGUUUUAUGUCGUGGAUCAUUAAUUGGAAAGUAAUAGCUAUCUUGACAUAUAAGAACAGAGUUUCCAAAUUUCUUCUUAAGUUGAUUAGUUAAGGUUGUUUUACCACUGCAUGUGCAUCCAGAAAUACCAAAUACAAUCCACUUUUUUGUAGACAUUUUGGCUUCUUUUGUUAUUAGACGAUGGCACUGCAAUACCAAUGCGCGUAUGAUAAAGAAUUAACAUCGUCGAUUAUUUUUAUUGAAUUUCUCCGUUGGUGUCGCUCUCACCUAGUGAUGCUGAUGAUGGUGAUGAUAGUUGCAUAUUGACGUCAAAUAUCAAAAACCAUUAACAAUGAUAUGCAUUAAUGGUACAUUCCUAACAAAGUGACGGACGUAUGCAUGUAGAAAUUUAUCGUAACUGAAAAAUUCUUGAUUAAGUUCUUUAUUUAAUCUAAAUAAGUAAACAAUAUUGCGCCAUGGUAAGAAUUUUAAUAAAAAAACAUAUUACAGGUAAACAUCUAUGAAGUAGUUGAUACAACGCAAAUUCGAUAUUGUAUGUAUACAAACGCAAAGACAGUAAUGUGUCCUAUUUCUAUACAUCUCCAGGCCAUGGUAACUAGAGCAUUAUCACUUUAUCUUUUUUUCUGUCACUAUUGGACAUGUCAAGUUAUUAAUUGAAAGUAUAUUGAAAAUGGUUACAUAUGCAAUUAGCUAUUCCUUUUUGUUCUCUUUCAGAAGAAUAUGAUAGGUCUUAUAUGUAGAUACUUUAACUUAAUUUGUAUGCAAAAUUAAAAUUUGCAAUUUCUCUGAUUUACGAAAUACGAGAUUCAUUUUAUAUA